UACAGAGACUGCGAGCGUUAUUCGGAUUCACUGGGCGUAAAGGGUGCGCAGGCGGCCGAGUGUGUGAGGCGUGAAAGCCCGGGGCUUAACCCCGGAAUUGCACCUCAAACUACACGGCUAGAGCAUUGGAGAGGGUAGCGGAAUUCACGGUGUAGCAGUGAAAUGCGUAGAUAUCGUGAGGAACACCAGAGGCGAAGGCGGCUACCUGGACAAUUGCUGACGCUCAGGCACGAAAGCGUGGGGAGCAAAAGGG
rnacentral:rRNA from 1 species